rnacentral:rRNA from 1 species
AUUGAACGCUGGCGGCAGGCCUAACACAUGCAAGUCGAACGAGUGGCGGAGGGGUGAGUAGUGUCUGGGAAACUGCCCGAGGGGGGGGGAUAACUAGGGGAAACGGUAGCUAACACCGCAUAACCACGGGUGUGCCCAUAUGGGAUUGGCUAGUAGGUGGGGUAACGGCUCACCUAGGCGACGAUCCCUAGCUGGUCUGAGAGGAUGACCAGCCACACUGGAACUGAGACACGGUCCAGACUCCUACGGGAGGCAGCAGUGGGGAAUAUUGCACAAUGGGCGCAAGCCUGAUGCAGCCAUGCCGCGUGUAUGAAGAAGGCCUUCGGGUUGUAAAGUACUUUCAGCCAGGAGGCGUUACUCGCAGAAGAAGCACCGGCUAACUCCGUGCCAGCAGCCGCGGUAAUUC